rnacentral:tRNA from 1 species
GAACGUAUGGCUUAGUGGUCAGACGAUUCCUAACAGGCGCGUGUUCAAAUCCCUCUACGUUCA